rnacentral:tRNA from 1 species
GCCUUCGUUAUGUAAUUGGCAGCAUGUUCGGCUAGUAAUCGCAAAGUCUCGAGUUCGAUUCCCGGCAAGAGCA